rnacentral:rRNA from 1 species
AUUGAACGCUGGCGGUAGGCCUAACACAUGCAAGUCGAACGCGAAAGUCCUUCGGGAUGAGUAGAGUGGCGGACGGGUGAGUAACGCGUAGGAAUCUGUCCUGUAGUGGGGGAUAACGUUUCGAAAGGAACGCUAACACCGCAUACGCCCUACGGGGGAAAGCGGGGGAACUUCGGACCUCGUCCUAUAGGAGGAGCCUGUGUCGGAUUAGCUAGUUGGUGAGGUAAAGGCUCACCAAGGCGACGAUCCGUAGCUGGUCUGAGAGGAUGAUCAGCCACACCGGAACUGAGACACGGUCCGGACUCCUACGGGAGGCAGCAGUGGGGAAUAUUGCGCAAUGGGUGAAAGCCUGACGCAGCCAUACCGCGUGUGUGAAGAAGGCCUUCGGGUUGUAAAGCACUUUCAGUGGGGAGGAAAAGCUGGUGGCUAAUAUCCAUCGGCCGUGACGCUACCCACAGAAGAAGCACCGGCUAAUUCCGUGCCAGCCGCCGCGGUAAUAC